rnacentral:rRNA from 1 species
AUUGAACGCUGGCGGAAUGCUUUACACAUGCAAGUCGAACGGCAGCACGGACUUCGGUCUGGUGGCGAGUGGCGAACGGGUGAGUAAUGUAUCGGAACGUGCCCAGUCGUGGGGGAUAACGUAGUGAAAAUUACGCUAAUACCGCAUACGAUCUAUGGAUGAAAGCGGGGGAUCGCAAGACCUCGCGCGAUUGGAGCGGCCGAUAUCAGAUUAGGUAGUGGGUGGGGUAAAGGCCCACCAAGACAACGAUCUGUAGCUGGUCUGAGAGGACGACCAGCCACACUGGAACCGAGGCACGGUCCAGACUCCUACGGGAGGCAGCAGUGGGGAAUUUUGGACAAUGGGCGAAAGCCUGAUCCAGCCAUUCCGCGUGCAGGAUGAAGGCCCUCGGGUUGUAAACUGCUUUUGUACAGAACGAAAAGGUUUCUACUAAUACUAGGAGCUCAUGACGGUACUGUAAGAAUAAGCACCGGCUAACUACGUGCCAGCCGCCGCGGUAA